rnacentral:rRNA from 1 species
UCUAGGUGUUUCGUAUGUGGUGUAGAACUAGAAGAUGAACACCAUGCCAUUGCAUGUUGCAAUACAGCGAGAGCAUUGAGGGAUGGCAUGCAUAGGGUCUGGACUUUGCCACCUGAAUCACAGUUUAGACCUACUGGGACAGAAUGGUUCCUGCAACUGCUUAGUCGAUCAUCAAAAGAUAAAAGGGAAUUGAUCUUGUUUUUGCUCAGGUGAGAAUGGCACCACCAUAAUAAUAUUGUACAUGGUAAUGGCAAGGCCUCAAUUGCAGCCUCGGUCACUUUCUUAUAG